rnacentral:rRNA from 1 species
UACGUAGGGUCCGAGCGUUGUCCGGAAUUACUGGGCGUAGAGAGCUCGUAGGUGGUUUGUCGCGUUGUUCGUGAAAACUCACAGCUCAACUGUGGGCGUGCGGGCGAUACGGGCAGACUGGAGUACUGCAGGGGAGACUGGAAUUCCUGGUGUAGCGGUGGAAUGCGCAGAUAUCAGGAGGAACACCGGUGGCGAAGGCGGGUCUCUGGGCAGUAACUGACGCUGAGGAGCGAAAGCGUGGGGAGCGAACAGG